CGCGGACCCACCGAGCCCGCGCUCAGACGCCCCAGCUCCGCCGAGAGGCCGCUCUCGCCGGGUCCUUCCUCUUCCCCAAGUGCAGGCAGAGCCCCCGGAGCCAUGGCCAGCCCUUCCGGCAGCUCCGAAGCCACUGGCAAGCCCCGAGGCAGGGAUGGCCGGCCCAGGAGGGAGGAGGACGACGUCCCUCCCGGGGAGAAGAGGCUGCGGCUGUUGCUGGAGGGGGGAAGAGCACAGCCCUAGGACUGCGAGGACGGGGAGGACGCGCCGCGGCCGGGCAGGGAGGAGACCGGCACCCAGACAGGUGGCGACGGCAGAGGAGAUUACUGUCCACAAACAAACAAACAGCACCAAAACUCCCAACAAUAAGAACAACAGAAAUCCCACCUAAGGCACCAAAGGCUUGGUGAGCAUGGAUGCAUGGCAAAACUGCCUCCUGAAGGGUAAGAUGGCUGGAACACUGCUCCCUGGUGAGCCCAUUAGGUGCCUUUCUAUCAUCAGGGAUUUGAGUGGCCUGUUUGGAGGAUAGGUCCUGGUUGGAUCGGGAGGAGUCAGGAGAGCUCCCCUGCAGCCCAUGGAACCAGAGAGGAUGGUAGAGGCCUCUGCGGUGUCCUUAGCAAGCCAACUCCCUCCCUCCCUCCCUCCCUUCCUUCCUUCCCUCCUCCCUCCCUUCCUCCCUUCCAUCCUUUCUUCUCUCCCUCACUAAACAAAUAUUUACUGAGCCCUUCCUAAGUACCAGGACCUGUUCUGGACCUUGGGGAUUGUAUUUACCAUGUGUUUUUUCUGAUGCUUUGACAUCUGAGGUCUUGCUGACCUUGGAGAGACUUCUAGGGUUAGCCACCUCCCAGAAAGUAAACAACUCUCCUAGGGGCGCCCCUUUCAUGUGCAAACCAACCAAUCCAGAGCUUUCUCUCCCCACCACCUUCUCUAUGGAGUUCUCACACUCAGGGCCACUAUCCCCCUCCCUAGUCACCUCAGGGCCACGUACCAGACAACUAGGGGACAGCCCCGAUGACCCAGAGCCCAUUGAAAUUAUCCAAACUAGCCAAUCGUAAACCUGCUCACACUGUCUCGUCCGUUCCUCCCUGAGGAAGCCAGAAGAAAGGAUUUCUCUCCUGUUUUCACCCACUCCCUGUGCCUCCUGACUGACCCCGGUGCUUCCCCCAUGGCUCUGCAGAUCUUGGUGUGCCCACUCCUCUUGGGAACUGUAAGUAACGAAGAUCUGUUGGCCUCGCCAUAUCUGAAUAAUAAUGACACCUACACUUUAAAGCAGGGGCCCAGCAGGGCAAGAAGUCAGGACCCUGUUCCCUCUCUCACAGAGCUUAGAAUCUAGUCAGUGUGUUGCAUAUAUUUUUCUAGCGUGCAAUUUUUUUCUCUGAUAAGGCAAAUGGGCUUGAAUCUCAAGACUGUAGUUGCUUAUCAGAUUAAUACAGCUAUGCUUUUGAAAAUGAAUAAUGGGAUAAUUUAAUGGUGAGUAUGUACACUAUUUCUAACUCCCAGUGCCACCCACAAUACACACAUACACACACACACACUCAUACACUCACACAUACUCACACACACUCAUAUACAUACAUUCACUGUCUCACACACACACACUCACACAGUCUCACGAACUCACACACUGACACACACACUCACACACUCACUCUGACACACGACACUCCUUGUAGGAGGUGUAUUGAGUCUCAGGGUAGGUAGGCUCUGAUUUCCUAAUUCCUGCCUCCGUGAAUUCUUUUUCCCUCUCAAAGCCUCUCUGCUCCCUAUUCCUAUCCAUAGAUGUCCUGCAGAUGGUUAAGAGUCUUUAACAACCCUAAGCUGCAGACAGGCCUAAAGCAGUUUCACUGAGUUUACUUUUGAAUUUUGUUUAUGGUGGGUUUUUUUAAUUUAAACUUUUUUUUUUUUUAAGAGACAGCCUCGCUCUGCCACCCAGGCUGGUGUGCAGUGGCGCAAUCUCGGCUCAUUGCAACCUCCGCCUCCUGGGUUCAAGCGAUUAUCCUGCCUCAGCCUCCCAACUAGCUAGAAUUACAGGCGUGUAAUUUUACCACCAUGCGCAGCUAAUUUUUUUUUGUAUUUUUAGUAAAGACAGGGUUUCACUAUAUUGGCCAGGCUGGGCUUAAACUCCUGACCUCAGGUGACCCGCCGGCCUUAGCCUCCCGAAGUGCUGGGAUUAUAGGCGUGAGCCACUGCGCCUGGCCUAAUUUAAACUUUUAAUUUUGAGACCAUUGUAGAUUUGCAUGCAGUGGUAAGAAAUAACACCAAGAGAUCAUGGGUACAGUUCACCCAGCUCCUCCUAAUGGUACAAUGUCACAACCUGCACAGUGACAUUGACAGAAGCCACUGAUCUUACUCAGGUUCCCUCAGUUUUACUUUUGUGUGUGUGUGUGUGUGUGUGUGUGUGUAUAGUUAGUUCUAUGUAACUUUAUCACGUGUAGUUUUGUGUAUAGCCUGUAUGGUGGCUUUUUAAUUAUAGUUAUGUAGUUAUUGUUAUAUAUUCAAUUCUUUCCUUUAUAUUCUGCUUUUGUUGUCAAAAUAAUGAAGAUCUUCUCUUCCCCAGGAUCACAAAAAUUAUCUCAGGAAUUCCAGGAAGAAGAGUCCAUUUAUUGACUCUUUCUGCCUUUUAUCCAUAGAAAUUCCAUGUGGAAAUCUCUCUAAUCCAGAUUCCCCCUUACCUUUUCCACUGGAGAUUUUUUACCAAAUUGAACAAUAACUGUUGGUGCUAAAUCCACCAGAAAUACUUUUCAGUUCUCAUUUCAUUCACUGAUUUCUUUAUUCAACAAAUAUUUCCAGUGUGUGCUUAGGUCUCCGGCAUGGUUCUAGGCCUGGGCACGCAGUACGGCAGAGGGAGAUGCAAGAGAAAGAUGGAUGGGAUCAGACCUCAUGGGAACCUUGCUGGCUGUGCAGAAUAAGAAGUUUGGAUUUUAUUCUCAAGGCAAUGGGAAACUAGAAGAUUUAAAGGAGGGGAGAGAUCCAAUCUGAUUUCUUUUUUUUUUUUUUUCUGAGAUGGGGUCUUGCUCUAUUGCCCAGGUUGCAGCCUCAACCUCCUGGGCUCAAGUGAUUCUCCCACCUCAGCCUCCCAAGUACCUGGGACCACAGGUGUGCACCACCAAGCCCGGCUAAUUAGUUUUUAUUUUUGUAGAGACAAAAAUAAACUGUGUUGCUCAGGCCAGUCUCAAACUCCUGAGCUUAAGUGAUCCUUCUGCCUCGACUUCCCAAAGUGUUGGGAUUACAGGUAUGAGCCCCCAUGCCCAACCUUGAUUUAUUCUUUCAGAUCAUCCAUCUGGUUGCCUGGUGAAUUAUAAGUGUACAGUUGCUCCUUUGUGAUACUCUCCUGCCUUAGUUUACCCCCUAUUCUAUUCACUCUCUCCUCUCAGGUUCUGUCUCUCUCUGCUCAGCCAACUUCUGAAUUAUAUGUGCUCCACUGGGCUCAGCUUGUGUCUACUGUCACCCCAUACACUUUACCAGGCCUUCUUGCCCACCUCACUGAGCCUGGUCACAUGCUAGUACCUCACAAAUCAGCUUAGCCAGAGAAAACUACACAGUCAUCAGAAUACAGAGACCCCUCCCUGAGGUAAUCCCCCUUGCCACCUGCAAGUGAGAGAAACUCACCCCAAAUUGGCUUAAGCAAAAUAAAAGGAGCAUGUAUUGGUCCAUAUAACCACAAAUAUAAAGACUUGAACUAGCUUCAAGCAUGGCAGAAUCCAGGGGCCCGACUGGUGUUACUAUAGGAAUCUGUCUCUUUUCUCCACUUGUGAUCUCUACUUUCCUCUAGAUGGCUUCAUUCUCAGGCUUACUGUCCUCAAAGAUGGAGAAGUGGUCAUAGGCAACCCCAGGAUCCCAUUUUCCCAGCUGAGUUACCCUGAGAAUAAAAGAGUCCUUUCCCAAAAGUCCAGUUCUCAUUGUCCCAGCUGAGGUCACAUACUCAUUACUAAACCAAUCAUCAUGAUUCAGAUUAGCCAAGCCUGGGGCUGGAGGUUGGAGUCAGCCCCAUCUGAGCAUGGACUGAGAGGGUUCUCCAAAGCCAUACUGGGGUGCACCUUCCAGAAAAGGACGAGUUGAAUGCUGAGCAGGUAAAACAACACAGGUCCCCUACAGCCUCAUUGCAGGAAUGAAGAAACCAAGGCUCCGAGGGGGAGAAAGGCUGCCUGAGUCCCUUAGCGAAUUAGCAACAACCUAAGUCCGGUGCUCUACCCUGUGUCUUUCCUUCACACCAGCCAGGUCAGGGUUUGCUCUAAAGGACCUGGAAGUGACCGAACUCCAGUUGCCAGGCUGGGCUCUAUCUUCCACUCCACAUCCCACCCCCACCCCCUGGAUCUCGUUCUGGUCUCAUUGGCAGUAAAUCACCAUUAAGAGAGUAUUGUCUUCUGGAGACUUUGGGGAGCUCCAUUUCCAAAGCGCCUAAUAAAUGACUCACUAACAGAGUGAUUUCCGACGCUGUGAUGGGAAAGGAGUGCUAUUUGGAUGCCAGGAGGACUCUUGGCAGCUGACCACUCUGACUCCACUUAGACCACCCUUGGUCACUGCCCAGCUGCUGACACAGAACUAUCUCAGUCCUUUUCCUCCAGUGCCCUUCAAUCCCAUAUGCAUUUAUUGAUCACCUUCUCCAUGUAGGGAAUGUGACGGGUGCCAGGGGAUGGAGGGGAAUGAACCUGUAUGGUUCCCUGCUGCUGUUAAGACUGAGUCCAUAUAGCAUACCCUGGCAUUCAAGACACUUCAUAAUUGGGGCACAAUCAGGCUCUUCUCCUGCCAAUUCUCCCCUCCCUCCAUAUUCAGGUCUUCUCCACAUCAACCAGUGAAACCCAUUUGACAAACAUGUUGUGCAAUUUUACACCUCCAUGGUUUUGCCCCUCUCUUUACCUCUGACACCUGCAGGCCAGUUACUUAUUCUUCAGAGCCUGCUGCAAAUGUCCUUCACUCUUGAGUUUUAGGGACAACAAGAGGAUUCGGAGAGAAACACUCUUCUGAAGGUGUUAACAGUCUGGCAGGGGAGACAUAUGUGUCCACAUAAAUUACAUUAUAGCCAUGUGCUUAAAGGCCAUGAGGAGGGAUCACAGAUCCAGCCUGAGGGGCCAGGGAUGGCUUGUUGGGUGAGUCUUGCAGUGAACUUGGACAAAGGAGCAUGCCAGCAAGCCUUCUAUGACCUCUUUUGCUGAAAUAAAUACCCAUCACACUCUCUUCCUUCCCAGCCUUUAUCACUGGGUGUGAUUGGAUAUUUAUUUAUUUCCUUUUGCUUUUGCUUAUUUUCUGCCUUUCCCACCAGAGCGUCAGCUCUAUGAGGACAAAGACUUGGUCUGUCUGUUCCCUGCGGUUUGCCAUCUCCUGGCACACAGCUGACACUCAUUAAAGAUUUGUCAAAUGAAUGAAUGCAUGCAUGAAUGAACUCAGCCUGGAGUGAGUGAGCAUAAGCUGCCCAGGCCUGUCUUUUGUGCUGAGAGGGGUACAAGGGCAGCCCCACUUCAUGAUCUCUGGACAGACACCAGAAAAACGACAUAUUUGUGUGAGAGAGAAACAACGUGGGGAGCAGACUGGGAGGUGCACAAGGAGACCUGAAGGCCAGAGCAAUCAGAGAGGGCUUCUUGAAGGUGGUUGUGGGGGAGUGGGGCUGCAAAAACCAGGCCCUGAAGGAUGAGGACAGUUAGGACAAGAGGAUGAGGCCAAGUUGUUCGAGUACCUUCCUGAGCAGAGGUGCCUCAUCCCUACCUCCGCAGAGCAGCAUGGUCCAGUGAUGCAUAAUGUCCAAGGACUGUUGAGGUAGCUUAUCACUGUGAGACACUGGGCAGAGUUGGCCCCGUCUGGGCUCAGGGCCCGAGACAGGCUCCCAAACCGAGUCCUGGCCGACAAGUAGAAGCCAUGAGCCCCUACCAACGCAGCCCCUGUGCCCCUUAUGAGGUCUUACAUUCAUGUUGAGCAGCCAAUUGCAGGUCUAUAUGAGCCAGGUUUUUUCCAAGGAACAAUUUUCUGCCCAGCUGGAGCUUGCUAAGUGGAGCUCAUGCUCAGGAAGGGCACUGGGGGCUGUGGGGCUGGCGUGGAGCUGGAUGCACAGGAGCGACUUCUGGGAGCAUUGUCUGAGGCCUUUAGCUGACACAGAGCAUGUACACAUCUGUGUGGGUGCCUGUGAUUGUGUACGUGUAUUUGCACCUUCACAUGAUGUACCUGUGUGCAUGUGUAUACACGUGCAGGUCCAUGUCUGUAUGGUGUGCACAUGUACAUGUGUCUAGUGUGUGUACAUGCAUAUGUAUGUGUAUGCACAUGCAUGGGUCCAUGUCUAUAAGGAGCACACAUGUGCUUGCACACCUAUGCUUUGUGUGUGCAUGUGCAUAUGUGUAUAUGCAUGUGUAUGGGUUCAUGUUUGUUGCACACAUGUGCAUGUGUGUUUGUGCCUAAGUAUACAGGUCAUUGCAUACAUGUGGGCAGAUGUAUCCAUUGCUUAGUUUAAGGCAGGGUUUAGAGGCUGGAGUAGGGUCCAGUUGGUUACUGGUGACCUCAUCUGAUGAGAGAACAUAGCUCUAGAUCAAAUGUUCUAUCCAUGAAUAGGACAACCUCACUGUUCCCUUCAAAACUACCUGUCAGCACUUCCCUUCUUCAUUUUCUGCUAGCUAAUCUGGUAAAUUAACAUGUGUUCACAGAACAGAGGGAAUUUCCUGGAAGGCAGGGUCUGUGUUCAUCUCCCACAGAGCAUAGAGCACAGUGGAUGCUGAGGAAAUGGUGAAUGCUGGAAAGGAGCAACAGGAUGCCAAGGCCAGAAGUUCACCUUUGUGACCAAACUGGCUGAAACUGGUGAGAUGCAAGACGGCAGCUCACUUGACCUCCAAAGAACCUCUAACUUCAUUAUAAUAUAAUUUCCUUGCUAAAUGACACUCCCAUCAGUGUCAUGACAGUUGACAUUGCCAUGACAAUGGCCAGAAGAAACCAUAAAGGGACAAAAAGGAAGGUAGUAACUCUGGUUCCAAGGAGUUCUCCCAUUUCCAGAAAAGACAUGGAUAUUCCUCCCCUUGCUUUUAAUGCCCAACUUUUUCAUUAAAGAUGAAGCCUGUAUCUAUGGUUUCCCAGCUCUCAGGAGCUGAGAAGUUGAUUUGUGAGCCAAACUCCCACUUCUCAAUAAAGGCCGUCGAAUAAAGCAUGCACUGUUUCAUGCUUACUUUUGGGUUCGUGUAUUGGCUUCACAGCACAGAACAGGAAAAGGCUCCAUCUUCUGGGGGACAGGCUUUGUUGGUAACAAAAGGACUGGCCCAGAGUCAGAGUUAGGAAGUGAUAAAGCCAGGUGUCUGCC
rnacentral:lncRNA from 1 species